CUCCUUGUAGCCCUGUCCCUAAUGUGCCAGCAGAGCAGAGGGGAGUGCACAGAAGCUACUUCUGUUGCUUACAAAACACUAAAGAAAUCUUGACACCCUUUUCAGAUAUUUUUUCUUUCUUUCUUAAAGCAUAAACCUUCUCCCUCUGCCACUGGAGAUAUAAACGGCAUGUUUUCUGUCUCCCAGAUCUGAUAGUCUAAUGGGAAGAUGGUCAUAGAAAGAACUAUCUGUGAUAUAGGUGAUAAGGAUCACUCUAAAGGGACUGAGUAUGAGAGCCAUGAUCUGCUUUACAAAAUUCUGUUUGCUGGCUAGAGCUAUGUGGAGAGCCAUUGGAGAAGCCACAUAAGAGGGAGAGGCCCUGAGAGACAAGCCUGGCCAUCCCAGCAUCCCAGCCAAAUCCAGGUCCCUGAUGACCUACCAGCUGG
ensembl:lncRNA